rnacentral:rRNA from 1 species
AAAAAGGGUCGACGAUCGGUAGCUGGUCUGAGAGGAUGACCAGCCACACUGGAACUGAGACACGGUCCAGACUCCUACGGGAGGCAGCAGUGGGGAAUAUUGGACAAUGGGGGCAACCCUGAUCCAGCAAUGCCGCGUGUGUGAAGAAGGCCUGAGGGUUGUAAAGCACUUUCAGUGGGGAGGAGGGUUGAUAGGUUAAGAGCUAAUUAACUGGACGUUACCCACAGAAGAAGCACCGGCUAACUCCGUGCCAGCAGCCGCGGUAAUACGGAGGGUGCGAGCGUUAAUCGGAAUUACUGGGCGUAAAGGGUGCGUAGGUGGUUGAUUAAGUUAUCUGUGAAAUUCCUGGGCUUAACCUGGGACGGUCAGAUAAUACUGGUUGACUCGAGUAUGGGAGAGGGUAGUGGAAUUUCCGGUGUAGCGGUGAAAUGCGUAGAGAUCGGAAGGAACACCAGUGGCGAAGGCGGCUACCUGGCCUAAUACUGACACUGAGGCACGAAAGCGUGGGGAGCAAACAGGAUUAGAUACCCUGGUAGUCCACGCUGUAAACGAUGUCAACUAGCUGUUGGUUAUAUGAAAAUAAUUAGUGGCGCAGCAAACGCGAUAAAGUUGA